UUUUUAUCAGACUCCUCUCCUCCACAGGAUCCUGGAUUACAGGUGUGCACUCACAAAUUUUCUGGGAGCCUAAACUAAGGACACAAGGGUUCUCCAAGUUCCUCAGAGAAAGGAAGAAUGAAGUGCUCAAGGGGAUCAUAGGGGAGUGCAACCUGAGGAACUUUUCCCCAGAGUGUAUGAUGAUCAAUUUGUGCCUAAGGAAUCUGACAUAUUCACCCACAAAGGAAACAAGGUGAAAUGUUUCCUGGUUUGUCAACUUUGCAGAUUUUGUUGAUAUAUACAAGCUGUAGAGUAAAAAUAAAGAGAAAAUGGGAAGUUUAAAGGUGGAAUUAGAAGAAAACAUCAAGAAUGAGAGAAUAAGGAAGAAAAUAUUAAGAGAGUUAGAAGGAAAACAGCAAGAGAGACAGAAAACACAUUUCUGAUACAGAUAAUUAAAGCAAUAAGCAACUGCACCAGAAGACGAAGAAACAAAAAUCAUAAGGUAUAUAUUAAGACAUAGUAUGAAAGUACCUUUUCCCUUAUGCCUGUGGAUAAAAAAGUCGCAUGCUUUUAAUUCCUUCAUUCUGGAGGCAGAAGCAGGCAGAUCUCUGUGAUUUCAAAGCGAGCCUGGUCUAGAGAGUGAGCUCCACGACAGUCUCCAAGGCAAUACAGAGAAUCCCUGUCUCAAUAAACCCAAACGGAAACCAAAAAAAGUCUGAGUUUGCUCAUUUUUGGAUUCUUUUUGAGCUCUGGGCUGCUGGAGGCUGGUAUCCAAGCAGUAUUUGUUGGGGUAAUGGAAAUUCCCUGUGCCACACUUAUCCAAAUAUUGGACCCUGUUGCCAAAGAUUCUUGUGAAAUAUCUGUGGAGGCUUCAGAUAAUUUAAGAAAAGAAAGAAAACAAAUUAAUGAUGUGUCAUUCAGCCUGCAAAACUCAGAAAACAGACAGCACCACUUGGCAUAUAUGAAAACGAAGACAUAUCCCAUCACAACACAUAAUUCUCAAAAAGAUUCUAAACACACUAACCGUGUUUUGGUAUUUGUAGUUCAACUUCUGGAUAACUGUUCUUCUUACUUGACAAAGAAUAAUUUUUAUUUGUUGUUUAAAAGUUCAUCCUGAGACAGUUUCUUUGCUACAAUAGGGUCAUGAUCAACCAGUGAGGCUGUUAACUGGCUAAGACAUAUUUUCUAUUGGCUUAACUGACAUCGGCCAUGACAGAGAAGCAGUGAGUUGCAACUGUAAUCUGAGGUGUCAGCUAACCAGAGUGAUAACACUCUUGUGGGUCAAUCUAGCUUGUAUAAAUCCACAGAACUACAGACACCAAAAUGUGUUUUGCUUCUCCUUUGCCUUUACUUGGCAGCUGCAACUCUCUUUCUCUGUUGUGUAGCAUGGUGUGAGUACAUAUGGGGAGAUAUCUACUGCCUGUAAUAGAGUAUGUUUAUCUCUUGGAAACAACUGGGCAUUUUUACCAGCAGUGGAUUGUCAAGAAGAUGAACCAUCUCAAAACUGUGUUGUCAAAUUUGCUAAUAAAAAUGAUUGCCUAUA